rnacentral:pre_miRNA from 1 species
GUGUGGAUUGUGUUCAGCACUAGGUACAGGUGUGUUUACCUGAGUGGAUUGUGUUCAGCACUAGGUACAGGUGUGUUUACCU